UUGGCCGGGGCAGCAGCGGGAGGAGGAGGAGGAGGAGAAGGAGGAGGAGGGAAGUGCGGCUCAGACAGCGCGGCGCCAGCAAACACCUGCAAACAGCUCCGGGCACACAAUGGCAAAUACAGGUGGGAACCGCCGCCUCCGUCAGCGCAGCGAUUGCAUCAGACUCCGGCGCUUGCCAAGAGGCGAACGAGCCGGCCCGGGGGCCACCGGCACCGCAGCAGGGCCGCGCUCGACCUUCACCACUCCCCCCGCUCGCCCUGUAUUAGUUUUUGCCCUCCUCGACCUCUCUUCUGCAUCCUUCCAGUGUAGCUGGCGUGGUUAAAGUGAAGCCGGGCUUACUCGGCCAGGAGCACUUUUCUCGUUCCAGCUGUUCCCCCCCGAGGAUUUUCCAGGAAAGCAUCGGCAUCCCACAACACGCAGGGUAUAUCUGCUGCAUGGGAUAAAUCUUCCUCCCGAGAGGAGUUUCAAGGAAAGCGUUGGCAACUGACAGCCCAGUCCAGGGAGCCCGUGGGGUCUGAAUAAGGCUUGUGCCAGAGUCUGGGAGUGUCGGGGUGGCUGCUCCAGGCCAGGCACCAGGAUCCGUCCACCACUCGGAGGAGGUAACGGCCCUGGGAAGUUUCUUGGGAGCUAGAGCCAAACCUACACCCUGCCAAACCCCACAGCCCCUGGCCUCGGGAAUCCCCUGCCCUCAUCCCUGAGAGGGGACAAUGGCAGGGGCCACCUCUACUCCCCGGGGGCUGGAGUUCCCUUCUACCUCCCCAGUGCUGUUUCCAUCCAAAAAGCCCCAGCAGGACUGGUUUCCCCCACCCCACCAGUGCCUAGCCCCACUUCUUCCAGUAACCCAAUCCCAAAAUAGGCUCAUUAAUGCUCCCACAGUCCAGGAUUUCCACCACCGUCAUCCCUGAUGGGAGACCCAUUGGGACCUGGAGUGCUCGCACUGCAAGAAACCCCACCUUCCAGGUACCCAGACUCAUCACCAUCCCUUGGUUCAUGCCCGGGGUGCUUUUUCCACCCGUCCCACUUAAAUCCCUUUGGUGCAUCAGCACUGGCACAGCUGGAGGACCAUGACACCAGGGUGAACAUGGGGGCACUCACCCCUAACCCACCCCUUGCCUUUUCCUCUAGAGCCAAAAGCCAGUGGAGAUGGCAAAAGCCUAUUUUUAGCUGUGAGCAUUAGCAACAGCUCUGUUCUCAGAUGCAGUGGUUUCUGGAUGGACACCAUCACCUGCCUUCCAUCAUGCCUGGGCAGCCAGUGUCAUGGCAUCCCAUCCCACCCAGGGGUGCCUGAGGAUACCCUGCCCUGGGGAGCCUGAGAGGAGGGAGGAAACUUCCCGGGGGCUGGUGAUCCAGUUGGACUAGGUGGUGCUUUUCGGAAGCUCCACGAGCUGCUUUUCCCUGUGGAAACGCCGUGUUUGGCAGAUGCCAGCUGCACACUAAACUCCUGUUGGCUGUCAUUGGGAUAGAGGCUGAAGCCAGUGUGUGUGGGCGAAGGUUUGUAUCACUGUGCUCCAAGACCCUUGUGUCUUCUCCCUCCUCCUGCUCUCGUGAUGCAGCCCCUAACCCAUGCUCCAUGCUGGAGCACCCUGGAGACACCCCAAUGCCACGUAUGCAGGACCCACCUCAUGCCUGGCUAAGCCCAUGGCAGCAAAACCAGAGCCCAGCACGGGGGAUAAAGAUGAUGGUGCUAUAGGUGGGGGUGAAGUUAAUUUAACUUCAUCCUAGGCAGGCCAGCACCAUCCCCAGCGAACAUGAUCCAGCUCAACAUCUGAUCCAGCUGGGGGUCACAUCUGCUCCCAGGCCAAAGGCAAACUGCAGCAUUACCCAAAGGGAGGGUAAAGCAUUUUUGCUCCCAACACCCCUUCCCUAGGGUAUUGACCCCAAGGAGAUCACGCCAGGCAGGGGGCUGCUCUCUAAAUACUACCUGGGGCAGCAAAAGCAGCCCAGAAACUCCUCUACCCCUGUGGUGUAUAUCCUGGGGGAGCGGCAUCACAUUUUCCAGUCAGGUAGAAGCUCUAAUCCAGCGUCAGGAUGGAAGCUGAUGGUCAAGCAGCCAAUUUGCACAUGGUUUAAAGUGGGAAAAACAUGUUUUCCCCUCCUUCCCAGGGCUCCAGCUACACCUCCAGAUGGUCCCCAGGGCUCAGCACUGUCUUCACUCCUUCCGUAUCAGAUAUGCACGGCAGCACCCAAAAUAGCCGGCAGCCCAGGGUUAAUUCCUCCCAUACCUGAGCUGACAUUUCAAGGCUGUUACACAAUUGUGGAGAUUCCUACAGUAACCCUAGGAG